AGCGAACGCUGGCGGCAGGCCUAACACAUGCAAGUCGAACGAACCCUUCGGGGUUAGUGGCGGACGGGUGAGUAACACGUGGGAACGUGCCUUUAGGUUCGGAAUAACUCAGGGAAACUUGUGCUAAUACCGAAUGUGCCCUUCGGGGGAAAGAUUUAUCGCCUUUAGAGCGGCCCGCGUCUGAUUAGCUAGUUGGUGAGGUAAAGGCUCACCAAGGCGACGAUCAGUAGCUGGUCUGAGAGGAUGAUCAGCCACAUUGGGACUGAGACACGGCCCAAACUCCUACGGGAGGCAGCAGUGGGGAAUCUUGCGCAAUGGGCGAAAGCCUGACGCAGCCAUGCCGCGUGAAUGAUGAAGGUCUUAGGAUUGUAAAAUUCUUUCACCGGGGACGAUAAUGACGGUACCCGGAGAAGAAGCCCCGGCCAACUACGUGCCAGCCGCCGCGGUAAAAC
rnacentral:rRNA from 1 species